UACGUAGGGCGCAAGCGUUAUCCGGAAUUAUUGGGCGUAAAGAGCUCGUAGGCGGUUUGUCGCGUCUGCCGUGAAAGUCCGGGGCUCAACUCCGGAUCUGCGGUGGGUACGGGCAGACUAGAGUGAUGUAGGGGAGACUGGAAUUCCUGGUGUAGCGGUGAAAUGCGCAGAUAUCAGGAGGAACACCGAUGGCGCAGGCAGGUCUCUGGGCAUUAACUGACGCUGAGGAGCGAAAGCAUGGGGAGCGAACAGG
rnacentral:rRNA from 1 species